rnacentral:tRNA from 1 species
GAGGCUGUAGCUCAGUGAUAGAGCACUUGCCUCGCAAGUGUGAGGCCCUGAGUUCGAUCCUCAGCACCACA